GACGAACGCUGGCGGCGUGCCUAAUACAUGCAAGUAGAACGCCGUUGCGAACGGGUGAGGAACGCGUAGGUAACUUCGUCAUAGCGGGGGAUUACUAAUGGAAACGUUAGGUAAAACCGGAGACUGUGAGAUGGACUUGCGUGGGAUUAGCUUGUGGGUGAGGUAAAGGCUGCCCAAGGUGACGAUACAUAGCCGACCUAUGAGGGGGAUCGGCCACACGGGGACUGAGACACGGCCCAGACUCCUACGGGAGGAAGCAGUAGGGAAUCUUCGGCAAUGGACGGAAGUCUGACCGAGCAACGCCGCGUGAGUGAAGAAGGUUUUCGGAUCGUAAAGCUCUGUUGUUAGAGAAGCGGUAACUCACCAGAAAGGGACGGCUAACUACGUGCCAGCAGCCGCGGUAAUU
rnacentral:rRNA from 1 species